rnacentral:rRNA from 1 species
AGACUAGUAUCAACGGCAUCACGAAGACUACACUGUCUCCUCCAUAUAAUCAAUGAAACUGAUCUCCUCGUGAAGAAGCGAGGAUAUAUAUAUAAGACGAGAAGACCCCAUGGAGCUUAAAACAAAUUUCAAUUGCUCCCACCUAAAUCAUAAAAGCUGAGCAUUUCUGAUAAACAGUUUUAGGUUGGGGCGACCGCGGAGUAAAACAAAACCUCCACAAUGAACGUAAUAUAAUCCUAAUAAAAGAACUACAAUUCUAAUAAUCAACAUAUUGACACAAAUUGACCCAAAUAUUUGAUCAAUGAACCAAGUUACCCUGGGGAUAACAGCGCAAUCCAUUUUAAGAGCCCUUAUCGACAAAUGGGUUUACGACCUCGAUGUUGGAUCAGGGUAUCCCAGUGGUGCAGCCGCUACUAAUGUGUUCGUUUGUUCAACGAUUAAAACCCUACGUGAUCUG